rnacentral:rRNA from 2 species
UGUGAACUCGAAGAGUAGGGCGGGACACGUGGUAUCCUGUCUGAAUAUGGGGGGACCAUCCUCCAAGGCUAAAUACUCCUGACUGACCGAUAGUGAACCAGUACCGUGAGGGAAAGGCGAAAAGAACCCCGGCGAGGGGAGUGAAAAAGAACCUGAAACCGUGUACGUACAAGCAGUAGGAGCCCACUUGUUGGGUGACUGCGUACCUUUUGUAUAAUGGGUCAGCGACUUAUAUUCUGUAGCAAGGUUAACCGUAUAGGGGAGCCGCAGGGAAACCGAGUCUUAACUGGGCGUUAAGUUGCAGGGUAUAGACCCGAAACCCGGUGAUCUAGCCAUGGGCAGGUUGAAGGUUGGGUAACACUAACUGGAGGACCGAACCGACUAAUGUUGAAAAAUUAGCGGAUGACUUGUGGCUGGGGGUGAAAGGCCAAUCAAACCGGGAGAUAGCUGGUUCUCCCCGAAAGCUAUUUAGGUAGCGCCUCGUGAACUCAUCUUCGGGGGUAGAGCACUGUUUCGGCUAGGGGGUCAUCCCGACUUACCAACCCGAUGCAAACUACGAAUACCGAAGAAUGUUAUCACGGGAGACACACGGCGGGUGCUAACGUCCGUCGUGAAGAGGGAAACAACCCAGACCGCCAGCUAAGGUCCCAAAGUCAUGGUUAAGUGGGAAACGAUGUGGGAAGGCCCAGACAGCCAGGAUGUUGGCUUAGAAGCAGCCAUCAUUUAAAGAAAGCGUAAUAGCUCACUGGUCGAGUCGGCCUGCGCGGAAGAUGUAACGGGGCUAAACCAUGCACCGAAGCUGCGGCAGCGAC